AUCACUAUUUACCUUAUCUUCUCUAAAUCGUGGAUCUAUGUCUUUAACCUGGCAACACUGGAUUCCACCUAUUCUGGUGUUGUCGAGGUUAAAUGUCUUUAACGUGGCAACACUGAAAUUCACCUAUUCUGGUCAUACUAUACUAUUCAUGUUUUUGCAGAAACGCCAGAAACCUCAAAACUCUUAAAAUUGGCAAGUGCCCAGACGCCCAGUUGUCAUUACUCAUUUACAUGAAAAUUUGUUUAUCUAGCUACAGAUACAAUAGGAACAAUUAAUAUAAUCAUUUUUUUCUAUUGGGUCCAUAGUUCUUUAUGAAAACUAUGUUGGUAAAUCAAUUUUUCAAAAACUUAUAGCAAUUGGUUUAAGGAGAUCAGAUUAUAAAAUUGGCACCUAAAUUGACUGAAAGGCAUAUUGAAGUACAAGGAACUGGAAGGAUGAAUGUCAAACUAGCUGCAAAUGUGUUUUCCGAUACAGUUUCUAAAGCUCUUGCUUUUUUUGGGAAACAAGUAACAACUAUAUAGAUUCAUUGAACUGGAAAGAUGCUUCGGAAUUGAUUUUGCUAUCUAAUAAAUGGCUUGAUCUGUUCAACACAACAUUCAGUUGAUGAGGUGUUCCAAGUUUUGGACUCGAUAGGGUCAAUCAACAGGAAUUAUUGAAUACAAUGACCAGCCUCAUUCAGGAAAUGCAAGUAAAUAGAAAAAAACACUACUCCCUUCUCAAAAAAGGUAUACUAGUAUGAAAUAAGUCAUUGAAGAACUUACUAGAAUAUUUGAAAAGCAAAUAUUUUUUGCAAUAUAUUACUACUAAAAUACUGAAUCAAGAUAUGAUUGGGACUUAUUCAGUUUUUUGAAGAAUAUGGUUGGUUCUUCCAGUAAUAAUAUAACGGCUCUUGACAGGCAAGUGCAGUUUUGAUCUGUUAAAAUAAUUUCACUAAAAAUAUCCUAAGAAACUGUACUUUUGUGAGAAAACUUAUAAUGUUUACUAAAAAUGAUUUAAUUUAAGGUGGUUCAUUCUGGGAAAAUACUCAGCUUUUGUUUAUUCUGAUAAUACAAAUUCUCAAGGAGGUAUGGUAAAGAGCUUGUUGUAAGAAAGUGAAUGUUUAACCAGUUUAAUGUUGUACUCAAAUCUACUUGAGAUGGAUGAUCUCAGUGAAUGUGAUAAUGAAACGGACCAUGUAGAAUCUUGUUCCGGUGUAGCCAAGUCUUAUUCCAAAAGAAUGUUUUGACCUACUGAGACUGACCAUAUAUGAAGCUGAAGACUCCGCCACUUUCUAUUGUGAAAUGGAUCUGUGAUUACCAAUUUAUUUAGUCAUGAUUCAAAACUUCAGAUAAACAUAAUAUUAUUAAGUUUAAAUUUAAUUUGUCUAUUAGGUUAAAAACA